CGUACGAUACGAGUUUGAUCAGGCUCAGAACGAACGCUGGCGGCAGGCCUAACACAUGCAAGUCGAGCGCCCCGCAAGGGGAGCGGCGGACGGGUGAGUAACGCGUGGGAACGUGCCCUCUUCUACGGAAUAGCCUCGGGAAACUGGGAGUAAUACCGUAUACGCCCUUAGGGGGAAAGAUUUAUCGGAGGAGGAUCGGCCCGCGUUGGAUUAGGUAGUUGGUGGGGUAAUGGCCUACCAAGCCGACGAUCCAUAGCUGGUUUGAGAGGAUGAUCAGCCACACUGGGACUGAGACACGGCCCAGACUCCUACGGGAGGCAGCAGUGGGGAAUCUUAGACAAUGGGCGCAAGCCUGAUCUAGCCAUGCCGCGUGAGCGAUGAAGGCCUUAGGGUUGUAAAGCUCUUUCAGGGGGGAAGAUAAUGACUGUACCCCCAGAAGAAGCCCCGGCUAACUCCGUG
rnacentral:rRNA from 1 species